ensembl:ncRNA C41G11.20 ncRNA
UUUUUCCUUUCUUCAGGGCUCACUAUUUGAUUGUCGUAGGCUUAAUGAUCCGCACUACUCUCCACGCAAAUAUAACUGAGCACAGACAUUUCCUGUGCUUCUAGUUGAAUGAAUGAGUUUUGCGACACGCGAUUCAGAUUAGG